rnacentral:rRNA from 1 species
UACGUAGGGUGCGAGCGUUGUCCGGAAUUAUUGGGCGUAAAGAGCUUGUAGGUGGUUUGUCGCGUCUGCUGUGAAAAUCCGAGGCUCAACCUCGGACCUGCAGUGGGUACGGGCAGACUAGAGUGUGGUAGGGGAGACUGGAAUUCCUGGUGUAGCGGUGAAAUGCGCAGAUAUCAGGAGGAACACCGGUGGCGAAGGCGGGUCUCUGGGCCGAUACUGACGCUGAGGAGCGAAAGCGUGGGGAGCGAACAGG